GCUAAGGGCAGUGACACACACUUGUAGUUCCAGCUACACAGGAGGCUAUGGCAGGAGGAUCAGUUGAGUUCAAGAGUUCAGGACCAGCUUGGGCAACACAGUAAGACCCUGUCUU
rnacentral:sRNA from 1 species